GAUGAACGCUGGCGGCGUGCCUAAUACAUGCAAGUCGAGCGAACAGAUGAGGAGCUUGCUCCUCUGACGUUAGCGGCGGACGGGUGAGUAACACGUGGAUAACCUACCUAUAAGACUGGGAUAACUUCGGGAAACCGGAGCUAAUACCGGAUAAUAUAUUGAACCGCAUGGUUCAAUAGUGAAAGACGGUUUUGCUGUCACUUAUAGAUGGAUCCGCGCCGCAUUAGCUAGUUGGUAAGUUAACGGCUUACCAAGGCAACGAUGCGUAGCCGACCUGAGAGGGGGGUCGGCCGCACUGGAACGGAGACACGGUCCAGACUCCUACGGGAGGCAGCAGUAGGGAAUCUUCCGCAAUGGGCGAAAGCCUGACGGAGCAACGCCGCGUGAGUGAUGAAGGUCUUCGGAUCGUAAAACUCUGUUAUUAGGGAAGAACAAAUGUGUAAGUAACUAUGCACGUCUUGACGGUACCUAAUCAGAAAGCCACGGCUAACUACGUG
rnacentral:rRNA from 1 species